rnacentral:rRNA from 1 species
ACCGGGAUUGCCUUAGUACGGCGACGUGGAAGCGGCAAAAGCUCAAAUUUGAAAUCUGGUACCUUCGGUGCCCGAGUUGUAAUUUGGAGAGGGCAACUUUGGGGCCGUUCCUUGUCUAUGUUCCUUGGAACAGGACGUCAUAGAGGGUGAGAAUCCCGUGUGGCGAGGAGUGCGGUUCUUUGUAAAGUGCCUUCGAAGAGUCGAGUUGUUUGGGAAUGCAGCUCUAAGUGGGUGGUAAAUUCCAUCUAAAGCUAAAUAUUGGCGAGAGACCGAUAGCGAACAAGUACAGUGAUGGAAAGAUGAAAAGAACUUUGAAAAGAGAGUGAAAAAGUACGUGAA